ensembl:lncRNA
UGGGUGUGUUAGUUGGGAGGACAGUGGGUGUGUAUAGGGUGUGUUAGUUGGGAGGACAGUGGGUGUGUUAGUUGGGAGGACAGUGGGUGUGUAUAGGGUGUGUUAGUUGGGAGGACAGUGGGUGUGUUAGUUGGGAGGACAGUGGGUGUGUAUAGGGUGUGUUAGUUGGGAGGACAGUGGGUGUGUAUAGGGUGUGUUAGUUGGGAGGACAGUGGGUGUGUUAGUUGGGAGGACAGUGGGUGUGUGUAGGGUGUGUUAGUUGGGACGACAGUGGGUGUGUUAGGUGGGUGUUAGUUGGGACGACAGUGGGUGUGUAUAGGGUGUGUUAGUUGGGACGACAGUGGGUGUGUAUAGGGUGUGUUAGUUGGGACGACAGUGGGUGUGUAUAGGGUGUGUUAGUUGGGACGACAGUGGGUGUGUAUAGGGUGUGUUAGUUGGGACGACAGUGGGUGUGUAUAGGGUGUGUUAGUUGGGACGACAGGCCCAGAAUCUUUAUUUCUAUGGUUUCCUCUUUUCAUCCAUAGUUGAGAGACAAGGCCAUAAACACCCCUUAGUCUGCAGCACCUCACUCUCUGGUCCUCUUUCAGCACCAACUACCAUGUCAUUCUUUCAGAGCAUCGGCCAAUCAGAUACUAGUCCUCAGCUUCAACGUGUUCAGAUCUGGAGAGUCUGACCUGAGGAACCGUCCAACCCCAGAGAGGAAAGCCAGCGGCUCCGAUUAGCCAUUUCCUGGAACUAUGGAGAAAUGGAGGGCAUGGCACAUCAAAGGUCCCUGCCACCCCUUUCCCACAACCUUCCCAAUCCCAGAGUAUUCCCAUUGUUUUAGAUUCCCAGCUCCCCCAUCUCUCUCUCUCUUACACUGCCCCAUAGAGACGUAACAGCACACACUUCCCUACUGAUGUUUAAAAAACAUUUAACAGGGGAGCCCGAACACAGUCCAGAAAUGAUGCAAUCGAGAUUUCCACAUUUAGGAACUUUGGAGGGGUCAGUACAGUCGGAGUGCAAUUGCUGAGCCUCGCCCUGGGUGAACCACCUUCUUGAUCACGGUACCUCUCUUGCCAGGUAAGUAUGAUCCUUGCCAGGUAAGUAUGAUCCUACUACUGUAGUGAUUGUUAUCCAUAGAGGGUGUGUUGGUUUAAAACCUGUUAAAGAAAUGAACGACGUAAAGCCACGCCUUCAGGCACCUUCAGGCACCUUUCAGAAGGGGAACUCUCUAUCAGAGACAGACACACAUUCUACCUUCCUUAAACUUUCCGCAGACUUCAUUCUAACCUGAAUAGCUGACUGACUGGCCAUACAUACAUUUCCAAUCAAUUUCCUUUAAAAAGUACAAUUGAUGAGAGUUCCCAUAGUAGCAAUAUCAGCCAGAAAAAGUGUUCAGUCUCUUGUGAGUGUGGUCAAUGGGGGGUUAAAGAUAGUUCCACUGAUUACACCAACUGAUUACUGAGUCCCAUCCGAAAAACUUACUAUGUACCUGGGGGAGUCCUAGCUACCUGAUUAAAAACACGUCUUCAAACACGGAUCUCAGGCCUCACUCAUUCAUCCUGCUUUCCACGACAUGCUUCCACUUUCACGUCUCUUCCCAGCUCUGUGUCUCACUGGAACACAAAGCACAGAGAGGGACCAGGUAGAGGAAGCUAUGGCCAUAUAUGGGCACAGGGACACACAGUGCCAGGUGGGUGUGUGGCGAACCGUUAACCUAUCGUACCUGAGUACACAAACACACCUUUAAGAAGGACCCUCCCAUUCAACACACACACACAAGUGUGGUACAUCAAACCAAAUGCAGCGAGCAGCCCUUGUUACUUCUACGUUAUUCAGUUAAACUCUUUGCCUGAACUCAACAAUGGACUGACUAUUGUUGUCUAAACAAAACCAAGUCAGGUCAUGCCAAAAGGAACAAUAGAGAGUGAAAAAGACAGUUCUACAUGGAACCCAAAAAGGUUCUACCGGAACCCAAAAAGGUUCAAAC